UACGUAGGUGGCAAGCGUUGUCCGGAAUUAUUGGGCGUAAAGCGCGCGCAGGCGGUCCUUUAAGUCUGAUGUGAAAGCCCACGGCUCAACCGUGGAGGGUCAUUGGAAACUGGGGGACUUGAGUGCAGAAGAGGAAAGCGGAAUUCCACGUGUAGCGAUGAAAUGCGUAGAGAUGUGGAGGAACACCAGUGGCGAAGGCGGCUUUCUGGUCUGUAACUGACGCUGAGGCGCGAAAGCGUGGGGAGCAAACAGG
rnacentral:rRNA from 1 species